UUUUGUUGUUGAUGUUUUUUUAGGGGAGAAGCUUACUUGAGAAUGAGAUUGAACCAAAUGAUCAGGGAUCCGAAGGAUACUAUAUAUUGUUUGAGCUUAGUUAAGUUGUCCUUUUAUAAUUUUUGGUUUAGUUUAAUAAGUAGACACCUUUGAGCUUAGUUAAGUUGUUUCGUCCUUUUACCAUUUUAAGUUUAGUUUACUAAGUAGAUGCAUGUUGUCCGUAGUGAUGAUAUCCAUACUUGUAUAGUUUUAUCCCAACUCAGACAACUUCUACUAUUAAUAUAUUUGGUUGUUUGUAUACGAUGGCUUUGUCAGCAAAAUCAAAUACUUGAUGGAUAUCACUUGAUUGAGCAGCCUGCACGUGUAUCUUCUGUAUACAUAAUUAAAUUCUUCUUUAGUUUUGUGGAAUCAAAUAAAUGUUGGUGCUAUGUGCACAAAAAACAUGGUCAUCUUUCCUAUUCAGUUAGUUCUUGAGGCUAUGCAUAAGCGAGUUUAGUGCUUCUUCUUCUCUUAUAUUCCCCUAUAUUAGUCCCCACGUUGUUCAAGUUCUUCCUAUGGUGCUUGCUUGCUAUGUAGCCGUACAUACAGAGUUGAGGUUUUCCCUACUAUUCAUUUUGCUGUCACUUUGAACUCUGAGUUUAGGAAGUGGAACACUCUAAUAAGUUGACGAAAUAAAAGUGACAUAAUUAAUAAGUUGUUCCUUUUCUUUGUUUUUGAAGUAAAGUUUAGCUAUGGUUGGAUGACUUUUGAAGAUGUAGGAGAGAUUUUUUGUUGGUAUUGGAAUGAUAACUGAUCAUAAUAUACAUGAGAAGGUGUCUAAUUGACCCUGAAUAAUUUGACAUUGAGGUGUGUAUAAGCUUUGGAUGCGUCUAAGUGUUUGAUUUGUAUCCAUAUGAAUACUUCGGCUGGGAGUUGGCUUAAAACAUUUGUAAUUAUAAAAUAGGGCUGUUAAUAAGAGUUCUUGAAUCUGGUAAGAAGGAAAAGAGGGAAAUGAUAUUGGAGCUAAUCUAAAUGACUUUGGAUGCAUUUCUUUGGACCGCACGAAUUAACAAGGGUGAUAAAAUUGCACGGGAGACAUGACCAUGGGAAAAUAUGCAGCAGAAAUAAGAGAUUCAACCAGAAAUGGAAUUAGAGUUUGGUUAGGGACAUUUAAUACUGGCGAAGAAGCUUUAGCAUAUGAUCAAGCUGCACUUACAAUGAGAG
rnacentral:lncRNA from 1 species